CAACAACAAUGCAUGUCGCUGCACCACUGCUAACCCCUUUUUUCAUCUGAGGCGAUGUUUUACAUUUGUGCUGAAUGUUUCCUUUUCAAGAAUAAUACCCACACUUUAUAAUAGUAAGGGAGAACCAGAUAUAAAAUGAACCCAGAUUUUUCAGAGAGCCGUGGAGCAGGUUCAGGGCUCCCAUUGAUACCGUUGUUUAACAAGAGGAAGCGUGUCCGACAACCCAUGACUUCUGAGCCCUCUGAUGGUGAGCUAAUGGAGACCUUGGCUAGCCCCGCCAGUCAUUCUUCCCAGUGGGGGGCUGCUGGCUCAGCCCUAAGCCCUGGCACGUGGCCAGCUGAAGUUGCGCAGAGUUUCUCAAGUGGUGGUUCCCCUCAGGACGGUGGUGGUUUCGAGAGACAGCAGGCCAAAGCGGGAGGGCGGAGGCCAGGACUUAUGCAGGUUCCUGUGCCUGCCAGCCGUUAUGUGACCCACAGAUCUGAAGGAUGUGUAAACAUGAACACCAGGGAGACAAAGGCGACCGGGCGUGAUGCUGGCCACCCCCCUCCCCUCGUGUGCCGUACCGACCUUCAUAGGUGCUCGCUAACAUCACUUUCCCCAAUGAUCUGUUAAGGCUAUAUGGGGGAUCUUUAAUGUUUAUAUAUGCAGGUGGGAGCGAUAGUGUAGCAGUUAGCGUGCUGCACUAUCAACCCGAUGACCUGAGUUUGAUUCCCACUCACGGGUAACAUACUUGUCAACCCAUACGGUUUACCUGUAUUCUUG